AGUUCCCCCUGCAGGAGCCCCAGUCCAGAACAACCCUUCCCUUCCCCUGACUUCUAACUCCUUCCCCUUGACCUCCUGACUCAAAAAGUCAGCAAAAGUUGAACAAGUCUGAGAAAUUCUGAGCAUGAUUCUGAACGAACGCAAUGCCCACUUCAAGUUGUCCACACUUAAGCCUGGGUAGUUUUGUUAAGCUAGAGUUCAGCGUUCGCCUGAGAGGGAUGAGUUUUACAGACACAAAAAUGUAUAGCAGUAGUUAUGGUAACGCUAACAGUCAGUUGUUGCUGUUGGACAUUACAACAAAUAUCAUGAAGAGUAAAAAGUUCAAUAACUUGUUCCAAUCUUUAUAGGACAAACAUAAAUUCAACACAGAUAAAGUAAACACAGAACACGAUACACCCAUGCUGACAAAGAAAGGCAGUAAUGACUUGGCUGUGAACACAGAUCAAAUACAUCCAUGCUGAAACAGAAAGGCAGUAAUGACUUUGCUUUGAACACCCAGAGCACGAUGUAUCCAUGCUGACACAGAAAGGCAGUAAUGACUAUGCUGUGAACACCCAGAGCAAGAUAUAUUCAUGCUGACACAGAAAGGCAGUAAUGACUAUGCUGUGGACACCCACAGCGCAAUACAUCCAUGCUGACACAGAAAGGCAGUAAUGACUAUGCAGUGAACACCCAAAGCAAGAUAUAUCCAUGCUGACACAGAAAGGCAGUAAUGACUAUGCUUUGAACACCCAGAGCACAAUAAAUCCAUGCUGACACAGAAAGGCAGUAAUGACUGGGUUGUGAACACCCAGAGCAAGAUAUAUUCAUGCUGACACAGAAAGACAGUAAUGACUUGGCUGUGAACACAGAACACAAUACACCCAUGCUGACACAGAAAGGCAGUAAUGACUUGGCUGUGAACACAGAACACAAUACACCCAUGCUGACACAGAAAGGCAGUUAUGACUUGGCUGUGAACACAGAGUACAAUACAUCCAUGCUGACACAGAAAGGCAGUAAUGACUUGGCUGUGAACACAGAGCACAAUACAUCCAUGCUGACACAGAAAGGCAGUAAUGACUUGGUUGUGAACACCCAGAGCACAAUACAUUCAUGCUGACACAGAAAGGCAGUAAAGACUUGGCUGUGAACUCAGAGCACGAUACAUCCAUGCUGACACAGAAAGGCAGUAUGACUUGGCUGUGAACACCCAGAGCACAAUACAUGCAUGCUGACACAGAAAGGCAGUAAAGACUUGGUUGUGAACACCCAGAGCACAAUACAUCCAUGCUGACACAGAAAGGCAGUAAAGACUUUGUUGUAAACUCUAAGAGAUCCAUACAUCCAUGGGGUGUGCCACAGCCGCAAAUUACGCCCACUAUUGUGAACAAGGUGCUUAAAGUGAACACGUCUGGUUUUGUUAUGAGCACAUAGCACUCCAAGACCAAAAGGCCUCGCAUUGAAUUGAUGCAAGAGAAGGCUUUGAAAAAUAACAGCAGUUUUGUUGUGUGGUCCAGUACGACCUUCGACUCUCAACCUUAAGAAAGCAGAACUCAAACUCAGCUCUUAGCAAUAUCAGCAAGGCCAGCAUGUCAUCUCAGCUUCUUAAGCUUCAGUGAACUUUACUAGCAAACAUGACAAACGUCAUUGAAGUGAAAGUCGAUGACAGCCCCCUUCUUGCACACAUACUACAACUCGCUUAAGAAAUUCAGCAUGAAGACGUCUUGCGUCAGAAUACCAAGCCUCCUAUCAAUAUCUCCUCUCAUGUUGGCUACAUCAACACUUCCAACAGCAGAGCCUUGGUGAAUUGACUUCCGUCUCAGCAUCGAUGUCGCUUAGCAACAAUUGGAUGAUGGGCGUCGACAAAUUAGGCCGGACAAGUCGCUCGAACUGAAACGAUCUGAUCCAACAGGUAGAGCAGGCGUUGCGUGACACGUCUGUUAAUGUGACUGACCUCGAUAUGUUGUUCUCAAAUAAUGUGAACCUUAGGCCUGGAGAGCAGUAUGCGAUUGACGCCAUUCAACAACAGUUGUUGUCGGCAAUUCUCGGGUUUGGGGUGGCGACUUCGGCGUCGGGACUCACUCCAUCUCUGUCUAUGGCCCAGUCGCAGCAGCAGCAGCAGCAACAAGAACAAUAAGUAGUAUCUUAGCGGUGUUCUGGGAUAUGGGGCUUCAUGUAUGUGCUUAAAUUGUCAUCCCAGAUUAGCCUGUGCAGACUGCACAUACAUUAAGUCCUAUUAAAGUGUCAUCCCAGAUUAGCCUGUGCAGACUGCACAUAAAUAAAGUCCUAUUAAAUUGUCAUCCCAGAUUAGCCUGUUCAGACUGCACAUACAUAAAGUCCUAUUAAAUUGUCAUCCCAGAUUAGCCUGUGCAGACUGCACAUACAUUAAGUCCUAUUAAAAUGUCAUCCCAGAUUAGCCUGUGCAGACUGCACAUACAUUAAGUCCUAUUAAAGUGUCAUCCCAGAUUAGCCUGUUCAGACUGCACAUACAUAAAGUCCUAUUAAAUUGUCAUCCCAGAUUAGCCUGUGCAGACUGCACAUAAAUAAAGUCCUAUUAAAUUGUCAUCCCAGAUUAGCCUGUUCAGACUGCACAUACAUAAAGUCCUAUUAAAUUGUCAUCCCAGAUUAGCCUGUGCAGACUGCACAUACAUUAAGUCCUAUUAAAAUGUCAUCCCAGAUUAGCCUGUGCAGACUGCACAUACAUAAAGUCCUAUUAAAUUGUCAUCCCAGAUUAGCCUGUGCAGACUCACAUACAUUAAGUCCUAUUAAAGUGUCAUCCCAGAUUAGCCUGUGCAGACUGCACAUACAUAAAGUCCUAUUAAAUUGUCAUCCCAGAUUAGCCUGUGCAGACUGCACAUAAAUAAAGUCCUAUUAAAUUGUCAUCCCAGAUUAGCCUGUUCAGACUGCACAUACAUAAAGUCCUAUUAAAUUGUCAUCCCAGAUUAGCCUGUGCAAACUACACAUACAUAAAGUCCUAUUAAAGUGUCAUCCCAGAUUAGCCUGUGCAGACUGCACAUACAUAAAGUCCUAUUUAAGUGCUAUCCCAGAUAAGCCUGUGCAGACUGCACAUACAUUAAGUCCUAUUAAAGUGUCAUCCCAGAUUAGCCUGUGCAUACUGCACAUACAUUAAGCCCUAUUUUCCCAGAAUGAGGCUCAUAUAGUUCACUUAAAAUCAGUAUUUUUUCUGCCUGAUUGAAGAAAUCUCCUAGCAUCAAAUGGUUAGUAUGUGUUUUUAAAAUUAAUCCACUUGAUAAAUAAAUAGCAAAUAGCAAUUGAUCUCAUAUCAGGUUUAAUGAUAGAAGGUGAAGGCAUAGUGUUGUCUACGUUUCGGCCGAAAUUCAGCCCUUGAACCAAGCUUUUAUCCUUGCAUACAAAAUCUGCUGUAGUAGACUGGUUAAAAUUUUAUUUAAUUUUAGCAAAUCAAUUAUUUAAAUGACUUCAGCACAUUAUACAAUUAUUCCCUUCAAUAUUUUUUUAAGUUCCUGAAUUUUGUUUUAAGAGCCAGUUCCUACAGGAUCCCAUGCUGUCAUAGAUCGGUACCCAGCUGAACAACAGGCUGUCUGGUAAGCUGGGCCCGGAUAGGUGCAGCCAGUCUAAAGCUGGGGCUCCAAACUGUCCUGCCAAGUAGGCUGAUAUUACCUCUUCUACAAGGGACAUAUGUCAGUGAUGCGCAAAGAGCUGGUUCUCUGUUCACAGAGAAAAAUCCUAACAACUCAGCCACUACAUCCCAAUAGGCAACCCGAAUAUCAAGGCGUUAAGUUUGUUCUGGAUGCAGUUACAGUCACAGCUUUCAAGCCAGCAGCUGUCGAUGUAUUGAGAGUCUCUCCUCUCCAUGUUAUCUGACCUGCUGCCUGUGAACAUCCUGCACAUAGAACCUUUAUCCCAUUCGAUGUAAAUAAACCGGCCAAUCAAAAAGACAGCCUGAAAUAUUCCUCAUCUUGAAUUAUUGGGAAGGCAGGAAAACGCCUGUCACUGUUAAGAUAAAAAUGAGGGAAUGACAAAGCACAGUAUGACCAGUUAAGUCCUGUGAUAAGCCAAGUCCUGUGGCCAGACAUGUCAUGUGGCCAGCCAAGUCCUGUGAUCAGCCAAGUCAUGUGAUAAGCCAAGUCUUGUGGCCAGUCAAGUCCUGUGAUCAGACAAGUCAUGUGAUAAGCCAAGUCAUGUGAUAAGCCAGGUCUUGUGGCCAGUCAAGUCCUGUGAUCAGACAAGUCAUGUGAUAAGCCAAGUCUUGUGAUCAGCCAAGUCCUGUGGCCAGCCAAGUCUUGUGAUCAGCCAAGUCCUGUGGCCAGCCAAGUCUUGUGGCCAGCCCAGUCCUGUGAUCAGACAAGUCCUGUGGCCAGACACGUCUUGUGGCCAGCCCAGUCCUGUAGCCAGACAAGUCAAGUGACCAGUCAAGUCAUGUGAUCAGACAAGUCCUGUGGCCAGACACGUCUUGUGGCCAGCCCAGUCCUGUAGCCAGACAAGUCAAGUGACCAGUCAAGUCAUGCGAUCAGACAAGUCCUGUGGCCAGACACGUCUUGUGGCCAGCCAAGUCCUGUGAUCAGACAAGUCCUGUGAUAAGCCAAGUAUUGUGAUCAGUCAAGUCCUGUGGCCAGACACAUCUUGUGGCCAGCCCAGUCCUGUGAUCAGACAAGUUAUGUGAUAAGCCAAGUCUUAGGAUCAGCUUCGUUCUGUGGCCAGCCAAGUCGUGUGACCAGUCAAGUGUUUUUACCAGCCAUGUCCUAUAACCAGCAACUUUGUCUCGUGUGUACAGUCCAAUUGUAUGGGAAGAAAAAUCUUUAUUUCAUAUUGUAUGGUUAUAAUGAUACUGACAGUAUCUUGAUGAUUAAGUAUUUUGUUAUAUAUUGGUAAAAAGACCAAUAUGAUAAGGGGAAACUCAGUAAUAGCAGUAAUGUUAAGUUUUAUUUCAAGAGCAUAAUAAUGCAAGUACUACUAUUUUGUCUGUAUUCAGAAACUGACUCUAUAUAGCUUUAUCCUGAUUAUCGUUAACAGACAGACAAAAUGUUUGUACAAUUGUUGUUUUUUAAACAUUGAUUUUAAGCCUUCACAAAGUUGUUUAAAUAAUGCCGAUACCUUGGACAAUAUUGUAUGUAUUUAUUGUAUAAACAAGACAUGCUGAUUUUUAGUUUUUACCUAUAAAAUAGCAAUAUGUGCUAGGUAAAAUAAUUGAUCAGAACUAUAUCAUAAUUGUGAUGCUUCUAUUUUGAUAUGUCUGUCAUUCUGUCUGUGUUCAUUUAUCAUCUGUUUGCUCUUUUGAUGCAGUAUUUUAUCAAGAAUUUCAUGUAGUGAUGUAAUAGUACAAUAUCAUAUAAUUAUUUGAUUUAUUCAAACUAAAUUAACCUUCUGUUAAUUACCAAUUUAUUUAUUGACAACAGAUACUUUGUUUAAUAUUAACAAUAGUUAAGCGCGUGAUACAAAUUGUGUGAAUGUACAUGCAUAAUAUUGCGACAAUUGAUGCACACAUUAAUGAAACUAUUUAAAUAAAGUGGAAUUUAGAAGUGCAUCUUAAUUGUAAUGGAGUUUGUUUAAUUAUUAAAAAAGUAUGCUUUCAUUGUUGAAAAUAUGAUAGUAAUUCCUCCACAAGUAAUUUUGUUUCAAAGUGAGUAUUUUCAUGAAUAAUGAUCCUAGAUAUGGUUGUAGAUUGUCCUUGUUGUAUCAUAUACUGACAUGCUCAUCAUUUGUGUUGACAUUUGCAUUCUAGCAUUAAAAGUUCACUAUGCUUUAAAUAUUUGUAUGUACACAUUUGCGACCAACUUUUCUAAUGUAAUAAGUGAAUAACGUAACACAGAUUAUGUGUCACUGUAUAUACGUUUAUUUUGUCAUUUGUAAAUAGAUCAACUGCGAAGAUAAUGUUUUUGUUUGUACAUUAUUCAUGAAAUGUUGCCAUUUCAAACAGAUACAUUCACUGUUUGAAUUCAUUUGUACAAAAUUGUUUCAUAUUAAACAUCAUUCACAUAUCAGGCAAUAGAGAAAAAGAAUUGCUUUGGAUGAAUGAGCACAUUAACCUGUAUAGUAAAUUAAGACAUGCAGAAUAUCAGAUUAUUAACAUAAUAAUAUACUUUAAGCAUUAGAAACACCUUGUUUUAUGUCAAGCUUUUCAGUGAAUAUAAUUAAGCAACUAUUAUCUGGAAAUUUGGAAAACAGUGAAUAACGAUUCAAGGGAGAGCAACUGUGAUAUACUUAAUAAAAGUCGUCUCCCUUGUAUAAUUGUACCUCUCAAUGUAACAAGAACAUUGAAUCUUUUUUUAUAUUAUUCCACACUAUAAACUUUAUACUAUAUUCAUUCAAUAAUCACUAAAGAAAUAUGGUUUGCAUAAUUGUUUAUUUCUAUGCGUUAUACCAAAUUCACCAGUAUGGCAUCAAUUUAAGUUCAUCAUAUUUUUUUUGCCAAAAUUGGCCAUACAGUGCUAAAAAUUUGGUAUUCUGACUAUUAUUAGUGCAUGUUCUCAUACAAUAUCACAUUGUAUAUUUUAACACCGAAGCAAUUCUGACUAUUAUUAGUGCAUGUUCUCAUGCAAUAUCACAUUGUAUAUUUUAACACUGAAGCAAUAUGUGUUAAUAUAUUAAUUUUUAUUUAUUGACUUGUUAUUGCUUGUUAAGGUGUCUAAUUUUGAAUUAUAGCUGUAAAUUGAUUGUGACUAUUUUCCAGUUUUGAAUGAUUGCUUUUAGUUGAUUGUUUACAAGUUUUGUAAAAGCUGUUUUCAUGUUGACUGCUCCACAUUAAAUGUCGUUGAUGCACAUUCACUGCGGCCAGGUUCCGUAAAACUCCCAACUCAUCUGAUGUCUUAUGAUUGGAUUCCAUACAUAGUGGUUGUUUAUACUCAGCUUGCUUUGCAUUAAACAUGUCUGCUUUGUUGUUAAAAAUUAUACACAGCUUUUUAUUAGACGAAAUUGUGUAAUAUUUCAAAUUUUUGAUAUCAAUUUUUUAUUUCGAACAAAAAUAUAUUUUGUUUAUUUGUAUGUAUAUUUAGCUAUAAUAAAAUUGUUUCUAUAAUAUAUAUAAAACAACAUAUUUAUAAGCAAUAAACUAUAUUGGUAAAAGUAGAUUUAAGGUUCAAGAUCAUGUCUUAAUUUGUUCGAUUAUCCCAAAUUAACAUUUUGCAAAAGCAAAACUUGUUGAAUAAAGAAAACUUUAUGCAACGUACCACCAGGUCUUUUAACCAUUGAUUGUGUAUCACUAACGAUCAGGACUUUAUCAGGGAUACAUAAUUGCCUUUGCAUGGCUAUAAUGUUUGUGUUAUUGAAUUGAAUAAUUUCUGUAGUUUGGUGCACAUUAAUUGUUGUUGUUUUUUUAAAGACAUAGCAUAUGUCAUAUAAUAUAAUAUCAUUGUAGUUUUGGUAUGUUUAGGGAUAUAAUCAUGUUAAUGUAUGUGAUUUGCUGAUCCAUUUCUUGAUGUUUCACUCCAUUUAAUGUAUAUAGCCAUGCAUAGAGCAGGAAUAUUGUUGUACUGUAAAAAAAUGUUGUUAUAGCAAAUAAAAAAUUUAUGUGAAUUGUUUCCUCACUUCUAUAUAAAUUUCCCUUUUGGCGAUGGCAUAUUGUGAUUUGGUCUGUCUGUCCGAUUUUUCGUUUGUCCCCUGUCAUACUUUGGUCAGCCUCGGAUACCUUUCAGAACCUUAAUAACUAUUCUGACAGAUCUUCACUUGGGGAUUGUUCUUCAUGCAGAUAUUAUGUAAGUCGCUCCAAAGACUUGUUAUGUUGUUCUCACGAGUAAUAAGGUAGUUGGAACGAGAUAACUUUGUAUUGAGAAUGAACAGCUUACCCGUGGGAAUGAGAAAGUAAGAAUGACGUUCUUAAUCAUGGGAACAAGUCACUAAUUCAUGGGAAUGACAAACUUAAAAACGUACACGUUAAUGUGUGCACACGUACAUUUCACGCCAUGAUUGGUAUUUUCAGUAGACAAAGCCCACUCCUAUUGAGAGUAGGUUAAGUAUGUCAGGCAGAACGUUUUAUAAAAUAUGUGAUUUUUGUUAUGUACUUGAUUCAAUGUGGCACUUUAGGAUUAUUUAAGACAAUGUUAACCACUAUCUGAAAUCAGGCUAAAUGAAUGGGAGAAACAUGUGUUCGUUCUGAAAAUUUGUUUUCGUUCUUAAAGCUA